UUGUUUUAAUGAUUAAGAUUUGCUCUUUGUUUUCCACAGAUAAAGAACCGCAUACGGUUUUGGAGCAACAUGAGUGCGCUGUGGACUGCGUUGACCUGCGGUGCGACACACAGACAUGUUACAGCUUUAAAGCUGAUUGAUUUUAUAGGUAGUGAUUUCCUUCCCUGCGGCCCAGCGGCGAGACAGAGACCGAGAGCACAGAUCCUGAACCGCCGCGCGUUUCUACGCCUGUCAGGGGCCGUUAGUCUUCUCCGAUAACAACAAUCACUACUUUCUGCUUUUCUUCCGAAGUCAUGUUUUAUUCAUGAGCGAUAAGAAUCCAAGAAACGCAAGAUAACACAGAAAGAGAGAGAAGAUUGAGCUGCUCGUAGCAGGUAGCAGAAGUUGGCGUGUUUUUGAGAUGAUCCGUGUUUCUCUCCUGUCAGCGUGGCUAUAAAUACAGACUGAGAGCUUCGGGGUCAGCUGGAGCGUGACCUUUGACCUGCAGACAGCAAUGAGAGCUUCUCUGAUGUUUCUCCUGAGGAGAAGAUCACAUGUUUCUUCUGGAGUUUCACAAGAGAUCUCAACAAUAUCUUGAGCUCAGGU